rnacentral:rRNA from 1 species
GACGAACGCUGUCGGCGUGCUUAACACAUGCAAGUCGAACGGAAAGGCCCUGCUUUUGUGGGGUGCUCGAGUGGCGAACGGGUGAGUAACACGUGAGUAACCUGCCCUUGACUUUGGGAUAACUUCAGGAAACUGGGGCUAAUACCGGAUAGGAGCUCCUGCUGCAUGGUGGGGGUUGGAAAGUUUCGGCGGUUGGGGAUGGACUCGCGGCUUAUCAGCUUGUUGGUGGGGUAGUGGCUUACCAAGGCUUUGACGGGUAGCCGGCCUGAGAGGGUGACCGGCCACAUUGGGACUGAGAUACGGCCCAGACUCCUACGGGAGGCAGCAGUGGGGAAUAUUGCACAAUGGGCGGAAGCCUGAUGCAGCAACGCCGCGUGCGGGAUGACGGCCUUCGGGUUGUAAACCGCUUUCGCCUGUGACGAAGCGUGAGUGACGGUAAUGGGUAAAGAAGCACCGGCUAACUACGUGCCAGCAGCCGCGGUGAUACGUAGGGUGCGAGCGUUGUCCGGAUUUAUUGGGCGUAAAGGGCUCGUAGGUGGUUGAUCGCGUCGGAAGUGUAAUCUUGGGGCUUAACCCUGAGCGUGCUUUCGAUACGGGUUGACUUGAGGAAGGUAGGGGAGAAUGGAAUUCCUGGUGGAGCGGUGGAAUGCGCAGAUAUCAGGAGGAACACCAGUGGCGAAGGCGGUUCUCUGGGCCUUUCCUGACGCUGAGGAGCGAAAGCGUGGGGAGCGAACAGGCUUAGAUACCCUGGUAGUCCACGCUGUAAACGGUGGGUACUAGGUGUGGGGUCCAUUCCACGGGUUCCGUGCCGUAGCUAACGCUUUAAGUACCCCGCCUGGGGAGUACGGCCGCAAGGCUAAAACUCAAAGGAAUCGACGGGGCCCCGCACAAGCGGCGGAGCAUGCGGAUUAAUUCGAUGCAACGCGUAGAACCUUACCUGGGUUUGACAUGGAUCGGGAGUGCUCAGAGAUGGGUGUGCCUCUUUUGGGGUCGGUUCACAGGUGGUGCAUGCCUGUCGUCAGCUCGUGUCGUGAGAUGUUGGGUUAAGUCCCGCAACGAGCGCAACCCUUGUUCACUGUUGCCAGCACGUUAUGGUGGGGACUCAGUGGAGACCGCCGGGGUCAACUCGGAGGAAGGUGGGGAUGACGUCAAGUCCUCAUGCCCCUUAUGUCCAGGGCUUCACGCAUGCUACAAUGGCUGGUACAGAGAGUGGCGAGCCUGUGAGGGUGAGCGAAUCUCGGAAAGCCGGUCUCAGUUCGGAUUGGGGUCUGCAACUCGACCUCAUGAAGUCGGAGUCGCUAGUAAUCGCAGAUCAGCAACGCUGCGGUGAAUACGUUCCCGGG